rnacentral:rRNA from 1 species
CUAACACAUGCAAGUCGAGCGCGAAAACACUUCGGUGUGAGUAGAGCGGCGGACGGGUGAGUAAUGCUUGGGAAUCUGCCCAAUAGUGGGGGAUAACGUGUGGAAACGCACGCUAAUACCGCAUACGUCCUACGGGAGGAAGCAGGGGAUCUUCGGACCUUGCGCUAUUGGAUGAGCCCAAGUCAGAUUAGCUAGUUGGUGGGGUAAUGGCUCACCAAGGCGACGAUCUGUAGCUGGUCUGAGAGGAUGAUCAGCCACACUGGGACUGAGACACGGCCCAGACUCCUACGGGAGGCAGCAGUGGGGAAUAUUGCACAAUGGGCGAAAGCCUGAUGCAGCCAUGCCGCGUGUGUGAAGAAGGCUCUAGGGUUGUAAAGCACUUUCAGUGGGGAGGAAAAGCUCAAAAUUAAUACUUUUGAGCCUUGACGUUACCUGCAGAAGAAGCACCGGCAAACUCCGUGCCAGCAGCCGCGGUAAUACGGAGGGUGCGAGCGUUAAUCGGAAUUACUGGGCGUAAAGCGCGCGUAGGUGGUUUGAUAAGCUAGCUGUGAAAGCCCUGGGCUCAACCUGGGAACUGCAGUUAGAACUGUCUGGCUAGAGUAUAGUAGAGGGUGGCGGAAUUUCCUGUGUAGCGGUGAAAUGCGUAGAUA